UUGAUCCUGGCUCAGAUUGAACGCUGGCGGCAGGCUUAACACAUGCAAGUCGAGCGGAGAGAGGUAGCUUGCUACUGAUCUUAGCGGCGGACGGGUGAGUAAUACUUAGGAAUCUGGCUAUUAGUGGGGGACAACAUUUCGAAAGGGAUGCUAAUACCGCAUACGUCCUACGGGAGAAAGCAGGGGAUCUUCGGACCUUGCGCUAAUAGAUGAGCCUAAGUCGGAUUAGCUAGUUGGUGGGGUUAAGGCCUACCAAGGCGACGAUCUGUAGCGGGUCUGAGAGGAUGAUCCGCCACACUGGGACUGAGACACGGCCCAGACUCCUACGGGAGGCAGCAGUGGGGAAUACUGGACAAUGGGGGGAACCCUGAUCCAGCCAUGCCGCGUGUGUGAAGAAGGCCUUAUGGUUGUAAAGCACUUUAAGCGAGGAGGAGGGUACUGGUAUUAAUACUACCAGGUACUGGACGUUACUCGCAGAAUAAGCACCGGCUAACUCUGUGCCAGCAGCCGCGGUAAUACAGAGGGUGCGAGCGUUAAUCGGAUUUACUGGGCGUAAAGCGUGCGUAGGCGGCUAAUUGAGUCGGAUGUGAAAUCC
rnacentral:rRNA from 1 species